CGUCGCACUCGAGUCAGGUACUGUGAGUGCAGACGUGUCCAGUGUUGGAAGCUUCGUACUUGGCAUUCACGGUCUCAACAGCCAUGGCGGAAUGGGGCGGCGCGGCGGGCGGCGGACCCCCGAUGACGCUGGAGCAGCUGCUGUCGAUGGUGGAGAACAUGCCGAUGGAGGAGUCGGAACGCGAGGCGCUGCGCGAGAGCCUGGCGCGCCAGUACGAGGCCAGCCAGCGCCUGGCGGCCGCCGCCGCCGCUGGCGCCAGCACGCUGGCGUCCGGCCCGCCGCAGGCGCACGACCUGGUGCUCACCGCGCUCGCCGUCACCGUCGCCUUCAUACUGCUGCCUGUCAUCUCGUUUGGAGCAUACAGAAUAGUUUCCCGAUUCUACAUGCUUUCAUUGUAGCACGUGAAAUGUACUUCAGUCGGCGGAUUUGCUCAAGAAUCUCACAGGGCAUACUACUGUCUUUGCCUGUACUACAUCAUAAUAUUCAGCGGAGAACUUAGCGUCUAACAGUGUGUUCCUCGGCUACAGAAUUUACAAGUCACAGAGAGAGACAAGCGAGAACUCAGCGACCAAGCGGACACAAUCGGAUGAAACGAACAAGAAAAGGAGAUAAAUGUUCAAUUCUGGAAGAGAAAUUAAAGUAAGCAUAUUUUGGAAAAUUCGAUUUGCUAGUUUUGGGACACAAAGAGAAGUAGUGACUUCUGCAAGAGAAGAAAGGGGCGAUUAGCAUACAGUGACAAAUGAAGAAUCAAGCAAUGUUCACUAGGGUAUUUUUAAUAUAUACAUUUUUUAUUUCCUUGCAAUUCUGUAAUAAUUUUUGUUCUUAUGUACCACACUGUACAUUACUAUGCAUUGCUCGUAGUAAAUUACUGUCAGCUUACCGUUCCAGCUUUGCUGUUUACGGUUGCGUUUAUUUUAUUUUGCCUUGUAAGUUUAUUACAUAAAAGUGACUAAUGCUCUGUCGAAAUAAAAAAAUGGUUGAGGAAACUUUAGUUUUA